AAUCUGUUGCAAGAACUUAAUGUUGCCAAUCUCAAACCAGCAUCAGUACGGAUUUAUGACUACUAUGAAACAGAUGAAACCGGUUUUGCUGAAUAUAAAUCCCCUUGUACUGCAGAAGUUCCUUGAGCCCUGUGGAAUUCUUGGAGGAACAAAGCUGCAUCCUGGCAAGAUAUUCCACAACCAGUCUAAGCAGCACAUGCAGGGGUGUGGUGAAUGGAGGCACAAGUUUACCACUGCAGAUGUCAUAGUAAGAGAUGAUUGUAGCAGUUCUGUACAAUAAAAUCACAUGACUAUUAAA